UGAAGCCCAUUAGAAAGCAUGGCAAUGGCUUAAGGUUAGCGCAUUUCGAGAAGCCAACAGAUCGCCGCCUACUUCCUUAGGCUGACAAUCACCUGCGGGAUAAAGUGCGAUGUUUUGCCUGAGACAGGAUCAAGGACUAGGCAACGUGGUCGUCGCGCACGAACCAGUGUAGCCCAUUGGCACUGGUAAAGUUGUAUCGGCGGCUCAGGCACAUGAAGACCAGGUUGCUCAUCAGUUGGAUGUGGAGUUGCGUCUGAGCUAGGACUCUCCCAUGAUCACUACAUAGAAAAAGAUACAUCCAGUUUGGUUUCUAAUGUCUGUUUUUGCCUAAGCAAAAAAGGUAACAAGCUUAUAUUGUCGUAUGGUUCUCAGUUUG